rnacentral:rRNA from 1 species
GACGAACGCUGGCGGCGUGCCUAAUACAUGCAAGUCGAACGCAGUGGGGACGGGUGAGUAACACGUGGGUAACCUCCCCAUCAGAGGGGAUAACACUGGGAAACAGGUGCUAAACCGAUACUGAUGGAUGGACCCGCGGUGGAUUAGCUGGUUGGUGAGGUAACGGCUCACCAAGGCCACGAUGGAUAGGCGACCUGAGGGGGUGAUCGGCCACACGGUGAGUGUGACAAGGCCCAGACUCCUACGGGAGGCAGCAGUAGGGAUGCUUCGGCAAUGGACGAAAGUCUGACCGGGCAACGCGGCGUGAGUGAAGAAGGUUUACGGAUCGUAAAACUCUGUUGUUAGAGAAGCGGUAUCUAACCAGAAAGCCACGGCUAACUACGUGCCAGCAGCCGCGGUAAUUC